CUAAGUUAUAAGCUUCAUGAGGACAGAAACACUCAUGAAUGUGCUUUUAAGAAGAAUACAGAAAUGUGUAUUCCUGACAUGGAAGGUAGUUGGCGGACUAACCACUCUGAUAGCAGACCGAUUUUUACUACUCCUGGGAGAAGGAACAAGGCCCGUACCACGCACCUCUAAGAACAAAGAUGGUACCUAUUCACCCUGACCCAGACUUCUUCGACCCCAGCAAGAUGGAAAGUUGGCAUCAGAGGAGCGGAGAGACUCACGUCAUUCUAAGAGUCAGUACUGACUGCUUAAUGCUCCCGCGAGUUCCUCCAGAAGCAACACCCAAGCACGCAAGUGUUGGAUUUUGUCCAAGAGACCAUGUAAUUUAUGAAGGAAGUGUACGUCAUUCACAUUUUCCAGAAAAGAGGACAAAAAACAGCCAACUGGAGUCAGAAGAGAUCUCACGACAUCUCCACAUUUCCUGAGUAAAACACUGAGACGAGUGGAAAAAUGUGGAACACAAAUAUAUAAUGGAGGAAAACAGUUCUCAACAACAACAACGAAAAAUAAAAGACUUUAGUGGGCAGAUCAAAAAGAUUUAUUUUGUUCCAGGAAAGAAGGGGAAAAAAAAGAAAUCAUGAAAGAGAAAUUGAUCAACAGAAAGAAUUAAAAGUGAAAAGAUAAUUCAUGCAUAAUUAAUGUUCAUGAAAUAUCAGAACAAAUAAAAAAAUCAAAGAUAUCAAAGACAGAAUAGAAAAGACCUUUCUCAAACCUAAUGCCAAAGUAAAUAAUUCGUCAUUGCUUGGCAAAAUUGAUGGGGGAAGAUCCAGACCUAGAUAACUCUAGCAAAAAAGUUUUAAUUAUAAUUUUAAAGGACAAAUCUUACCACCAUCAAAACAGAAAAAAUAAGUGUGUGUGUGUUUACCCACAUAGGAAUAAAAAUGGGCUGUCCACAUCAUUUCUCUACAAUAUAAAAAUGAACAAUAUCUACAUAACAUUGGAGUAAAUUAGUUUUUGAAUAAAAGGAUUUAGGUCCAACCAUAGAGAUCAGAGGUGAACUAUGAUUGCCUUAGGCCAAUAGAAUUAGGUGAAAAUCAAAUAUAAGCCGAUCAAUGUACUACAUUCCUCCAACCACAGAUAUCGGUUCAGAGUGGUCUGGACUACAUGACCAUAAUUGAUCUGGUUUUUCAUGUUAAAAGGAGGCACCUAUAUAUGGGAGUCACCUUUUUGUAACUAUGACAGAACCAAGCUUUAGGGAUAAAACUGACAUCACAGAAGGCAGUGAAGAGACAGGAGAUAACUAGCAUCUUGAUGACUAAUUAAAACACAGAUUUAUCCUACCCUACCGAUGACAGCUUUCAGUUACAUGAGCCAGUAAAUUUCCUUAUUGUCUAAGCCAUUUGAGUUUAUUUUUCUUUUACAUGACAUGGAAAGUAUUCUAAUUGAAAGGCUAGCCAAGGGUCCGGCCCUGUGGCCAAAUAGUUAAGUUUCUGCACUCCACUUCGGCCAUCUAGGGUUUCACUGGUUCAGAUCCUGGGCACGGACAUGGCACUGCUCGUCAGGCCACGCUGAGGUGGUGUCCCACAUGCCACAAC
rnacentral:lncRNA from 1 species